UCCGUAGGCGGGAAAUUAAGUCAGUAGUGAAAUCCCACAGCUUAACUGUGGAACUGUUAUUGAUACUGGUUUUCUUGAAUAUAGUUGAGGUAGGCGGAAUGUGUAAUGUAGCGGUGAAAUGCUUAGAUAUUACACAGAACACCGAUUGCGAAGGCAGCUUACUAAGCUAUGAUUGACGCUGAGGUACGAAAGCGUGGGGAGCGAACAGGAUUAGAUACCCUGGUAGUCC
rnacentral:rRNA from 1 species